ensembl:lncRNA
UACAGUAUAUGGCUACCUUUAUUUACAUGUAUCAAGUGUAUGUUGGUUGGUGACUGUUCUUUGAAAAGUUUAAGGCAAAGACUACAGAUAGAUAUGGUGUGUAUAAAAGUUGUGCCGUUGUCACCAAUAAAGACGACCCUGACUAACACUGGCACGCUCUGCUGGUCACAUCGAAAGUACACCGUAAAAAUUAAACAAAUGUCCUUCUCUCUCUACAUUUGACAUUAACCAUGAACACACAAAAGAGACCAUCUGUAACCAGAUGGCUGUAGGGUUCAAAUCAAAUGUCAUGUCACAUGCUUUUGUAAACAAUACGUGUAGACCGACAGUGAAAUGCUUACUUAAAUCUACCCCUGUUAGUUAUGAAGCAUGUGACAUUAUGUUCAAGUUAAACUUUUGUAUAAAUACUAAAUAUUUCAGUGUAAUUAUACAGUAGGCUGAUUGAUGGUGACAAGUGACAAUUAGCGUUUUCAAAGUUCUAUAUCUUGAAAACUGGAUUGCUGCACUGCAAAACAUUUUUUGGGGGGCUGUAUCAACAGUGGACGAAUGAAACAAAUAUACACAAAAAUAUCAUUUUGGGAGUGGAAUUGACCUUCAAGUCAAAGUUGCUGAAUUAAAAAGGUGAUCAUCCCUGUAAAAUGUCUAUUCCCGACGCGCUUCAUAUCGUCAGCUCACUCUCAAUAUCACGUUAGAGGAUGAGGCAUCUCUAUCAUGUACAGUAUGCGUUCUCUAUGCCCAUUGGACAGACUGAAAAGCGGACCUGAGACCUCCCUCAGUGUUCCGACGCAGCAUUAAGAACAGACAGAAUAUACAUCUAGAUGCUGAUCCACACAUUAUACCGGUCUGUCAGCUGGACAAUGGCUUCACCAUGAGCAGGUCUGAUCACCUUUCAGUUUAGAGACAAGGGCAGCAGGUCUGAUCACCUUUCAGUUUAGAGACAAGGGCAGCAGGUCUGAUCACCUUUCAGUUUAGAGACAAGGGCAGCAGGUCAGAUCACCUUUCAGUUUAGAGACAAGGGCAGCAGGUCAGACCACCUUUCAGUUUAGAGACAAGGGCAGCAGGUCAGACCACCUUUCAGUUUAGAGACAAGGGCAGCAGGUCAGACCACCUUUCAGUUUAGAGACAAGGGCAGCAGGUCAGACCACCUUUCAGUUUAGAGACAAGGGCAGCAGGUCUGAUCACCUUUCAGUUUAGAGACCAGGGCAGCAGGUCAGAUCACCUUUCAGUUUAGAGACAAGGGCAGCAGGUCUGAUCACCUUUCAGUUUAGAGACCAGGGCAGCAGGUCUGAUCACCUUUCAGUUUAGAGACCAGGGCAGCAGGUCUGAUCAUAUAAAUAGAACACGGUCGACUUGAAAUGUCUGUUCUAGAUAUUUUAUUUGAAUUAGUGUGAUUCUGUUUUACUGUACCGCUCUGCCUUACCAGCAGUCUUCUACCUAUAGCGGACAUUCUGCUGGUUAAAUGAACAGCUGAACGAAAACAGAUAAACACUUGAGAUACAGAGAGAGAGAGAGAGACAGAGAGAGAGAGAGACAGAGAGAGAGAGAGAGACAGAGAGAGAGAGAGAGAGAGAGAGAGAAAAGAUACAGGUUUCACCUUAGUGCACAGGAGCAGUAACAAUGUCACCAACCAACACCAUAAAAAUGGAAUAUCUUUAAACUAACAAACUCUUUGUCCUUGAGACUUCAGUAUAUUCAAAAUGAAACUACCAAAAGAUCUGAACAACAAAAAAUCAUUCAAAUGACUACAUACUAAUACAGUAUAGUGUUUUAAAUUACUCUGUACAUCUUGGAACGGUCCCCAAAAAAGCUACUUAUUUCCUAUACAGUGCACUACAUUCAUCAGGGCCCAUACGACUCUACUUUUGCUCAAAGGUAGUGCACUAUAUAGGGAAUAGGUUGUUAUUUGGGACGUAAGCACUAAGUCACGUGACUGGGCGGAAGGGAGAUACUGUACAAGAAAAACAUUACUUCAAAUGAAUACACACUUUUUUUUUUUUUUUUUUUUUUUUUUUUAACACAGAACCCCCUACACACACACACGAGUAGAGUACAGUGUUUGGAGGACGACAACAAUCUCCCAGUUCACAAUCAGACCCUUUCUCAUUUUCAUAUAGAGAACAAAUGAGACCACCAUGUGUGGGAGGUUAUGUGGGGGCAGGGCAUAUCAGGGAAGCACCUCCCACCCCCGCAUCCCUGAUAAGCCCGCCCCCGCAUCCCUGAUAAGCCCGCCC